rnacentral:misc_RNA from 1 species
UUUCCGUAGGUGAACCUGCGGAAGGAUCAUUAAUGUGUUUCGGCCUCACGGCUCCUCAUUCCGACGCUGUGCCCCUUCGGACUGCACGCUGAGGGAGCAUAUAUCCACCCCGGUUCACACUCACGAUGGAGUGCUGGGUAACGCCGUGCCGCUGAUCUUUAAACAAGACUAAAAGCAAUUGUUUUUUUAUUUUAUCUAAUAACACAACUAUCAACGACGGAUCUCUCGGCUCUCGUAACCAUGAAGAACGCAGCAGAUCGGAAGAGCACCCAUCUGAAU